rnacentral:rRNA from 1 species
GGAUAACAUACCGAAAGGUAUGCUAAUACGGGAUAAUAUAUUUGAGAGGCAUCUCUUAAAUAUCAAAGGUGAGCCAGUACAGGAUGGACCCGCGUCUGAUUAGCUAGUUGGUAAGGGAACGGCUUACCAAGGCGACGAUCAGUAGCCGACCUGAGAGGGUGAUCGGCCACAUUGGAACUGAGACACGGUCCAAACUCCUACGGGAGGCAGCA